rnacentral:rRNA from 1 species
GACGAACGCUGGCGGCGUGCUUAACACAUGCAAGUCGAACGGAAAGGCCCCCACCUUGGUGGGGGUGCUCGAGUGGCGAACGGGUGAGUAACACGUGGGUGAUCUGCCCUGUACUUCGGGAUAAGCUUGGGAAACUGGGUCUAAUACCGGAUAGGACCAUGGUUUAGUGUCUCAUGGUGGAAAAAUUAUUGUUUUGGUGCAGGAUGAGCUCGCGGCCUAUCAGCUUGUUGGUGGGGUAAUGGCCUACCAAGGCGUCGACGGGUAGCCGGCCUGAGAGGGUGGACGGCCACAUUGGGACUGAGAUACGGCCCAGACUCCUACGGGAGGCAGCAGUGGGGAAUAUUGCACAAUGGGCGCAAGCCUGAUGCAGCGACGCCGCGUGGGGGAUGACGGCCUUCGGGUUGUAAACUCCUUUCGUUAGGGACGAAGCCACACCUUUUUUGGGUGUGGUGACGGUACCUUUGUUAAGAAGCACCGGCGAACUACGU